rnacentral:rRNA from 1 species
GACGAACGCCGGCGGCGUGCUUAACACAUGCAAGUCGAACGGUAAGGCUCUUCGGGGUACACGAGUGGCGAACGGGUGAGUAACACGUGGGUGAUCUGCCCUGCACUUCGGGAUAAGCCUGGGAAACUGGGUCUAAUACCGGAUAGGACUCCGGACUGCAUGGUCUGGGGUGGAAAGCUUUUGCGGUGUGGGAUGGGCCCGCGGCCUAUCAGCUUGUUGGUGGGGUGAUGGCCUACCAAGGCGACGACGGGUAGCCGGCCUGAGAGGGUGACCGGCCACACUGGGACUGAGAUACGGCCCAGACUCCUACGGGAGGCAGCAGUGGGGAAUAUUGCACAAUGGGCGCAAGCCUGAUGCAGCGACGCCGCGUGAGGGAUGACGGCCUUCGGGUUGUAAACCUCUUUCAGCAUCGACGAAGCGAAAGUGACGGUAGGUGCAGAAGAAGGACCGGCCAACUACGUGCCAGCCGCCGCCGUAA